GGAGACCCCAAGCUGCAUCGCCGAGUGGCCCCACCGUAGAGAUGCCUUCUUCGGUGACGGCGCUGGGUCAGGCCAGGUCCUCCGGCCCCGGGAUGGCCCCGAGCGCCUGCUGCUGCUCCCCUGCAGCCGUGCAGAGGAGGCUGCCCAUCCUGGCGUGGCUGCCCAGCUACUCCCUGCAGUGGCUGAAGAUGGAUUUCGUCGCCGGCCUCUCAGUUGGCCUCACUGCCAUUCCCCAGGCGCUGGCCUAUGCUGAAGUGGCUGGACUCCCGCCCCAGGCUUCACCUCUGCUGCUGCCGUCACCAUCGGCUUUGGACAGAUCAAGAACCUGCUGGGACUACAGAACAUCCCCAGGCCGUUCUUCCUGCAGGUGUACCACACCUUCCUCAGGAUUGCAGAGACCAGAGUGCGGAGUGAGGACUGUGGCCCAGUGGGGGCGUCUUCUGCCUCUGGGGUGUCUGCCCCAGUAACCUGGAGGCAGCCGCGCUACCCCACACUCGCCGGGAGCAGGGUCUCGGACGCACCUCUCCUUCUCUCCUAGCUCGCAACGCCCUGGUGGUGUCCUUCGCGGCCCUGGUUGCGUACUCCUUCGAGGUGACUGGAUACCAGCCUUUCAUCCUAACAGGGGAGACAGCUGAGGGGCUCCCUCCAGUCCAGAUCCCGCCCUUCUCAGUGACCACAGCCAACGGGACGAUCUCCUUCACCGAGAUGGUGCAG
rnacentral:sRNA from 1 species